GACGAACGCUGGCGGCGUGCUUAACACAUGCAAGUCGAACGGAAAGGCCCUGCUUUUGUGGGGUGCUCGAGUGGCGAACGGGUGAGUAACACGUGAGUAACCUGCCCUUGACUUUGGGAUAACUUCAGGAAACUGGGGCUAAUACCGGAUAGGAGCUCCUGCUGCAUGGUGGGGGUUGGAAAGUUUCGGCGGUUGGGGAUGGACUCGCGGCUUAUCAGCUUGUUGGUGGGGUAGUGGCUUACCAAGGCUUUGACGGGUAGCCGGCCUGAGAGGGUGACCGGCCACAUUGGGACUGAGAUACGGCCCAGACUCCUACGGGAGGCAGCAGUGGGGAAUAGUGCACAAUGGGCGGAAGCCUUAUGCAGCAACGCCGCGUGCGGGAUGACGGCCUUCGGGUUGUAAACCGCUUUCGCCUGUGACGAAGCGUGAGUGACGGUAAUGGGUAAAGAAGCACCGGCUAACUACGUG
rnacentral:rRNA from 1 species